rnacentral:lncRNA from 1 species
GCUUGCUUUUCCUCCUCUCCUUGCACAGAGCUCUAUAAUAAAUGAAGAGUGUGCAAUUAUGCCUGGGGGUUCCCAUCUGCUUACGAUUACCUCUCUGCGCUUGCCCACAGGAAGACACUGGGAAGUCACCGAAAAGAAGGGCGAUUUCUUAGCCACCCAUUUAGAAGAAUGUCAGCUGCCCUAGCAUGAUUUACAGCGUGAGCACGAGGAUCUGAAAAAAGAAAAAAAAAAAAAAAAGGCUACCAGCCCCACUGCUCUACUGCAUUCUGGAAACUUCUGAGUUAUUUUUAUUGAAAGAGCGUGCUCAUCUAAACGUGGAGCUUCUGCCCAGCAUCUGAACAAUUCUCUGCGUGUCACGCUAACCUAAGAAUGGAUAAAUUGGAUCCCAUCAUAUUAACAAACACUGAUCUGUUCUGACACCACUGAGGAGAAAGUUUGAGUGCAGGGACUGGUAUAAACGGCCCUGGGCAUACGAGAAGCUGAUCUUUUCAGAGAAAAGCUGCCUGAGAAAAAGCUCAUCUCCCCUAAAGCUGCCCAUGCAUGCGGAAGAGGGGCAUCAUAAGCUCAAAUCCCAAGGAAAAUGGCCCAGGUUAAGUGGUAAAAAUGUAUUUGAUCGAGUUAUAUGGGCAAGUAGAUGCUGGGGUGUGGGAGGCCUAGAGGGAAGAAAGGGCAGGGCUAAUGGGGAUGUUCAGGAAAGUCACAUUGCUGGGGUUGCAGAUAACCUUGGAAUGUCUUGUGUUAAAGGCUGAAUCUAUUCAAAGAUUGGUAGAUGGAAGCGGCUGCCAUCAGUGAGAAACCCUGCCCUAGUAGGGCUGAGUCUAAAUUGACUCAAGCGGAUGCACAGAGGCAUCCUGUAACUGUCAGGUGCUUUAGACUCUUCCCAGCCAGUUCAACAUUAUAGUCAAUAAUGUAUAUUCAACAUUUGCCUUUUAGCUUCUCUUUACUGAUCAGAUCCUGGCUAAAACAGGUGAAAAUUUCUUAAGAAAACUCCUGACAAAAUAAAAGUUUUCUUCCAUCUACAUAAUAAUUGUGUUCCUAAGAAAUUCAGUGGUUAUAAAAUGGUAUGAAAGUAAAAAUCUUGUGUAUUUGUAUGUAGAAUAAAAAAAACUAUAAUAUUUUCCAAUGCCUAUAGAUACCAUUCAGAGCUGAACAGCUAUACACAUGCCUGGCAAUUGUACCUAGCAUAACUCUGUCUGUGGUGGGGAACAACAGUUCUACCCACUACCGUGUGAUCACAAUUGCUUGUAUUAUCUCUAUGUGCCACAAAUUCUAACCUGUGUGUGACACUGUUGUGUGCAAUAGAAGAUGACCCUUCACUUUGUUGAACUAUCCCACCGAUGCAUUGAGCAUCCCUGGCCUCAACUAAUUUUGACAGUACCAUGCUCAAUCAUUUUGACAACCCAAAACACACCACAGAACAACCUACUUUGUAUCUGAGAACAAUUCAUUCACAUCUUAUGCCUCUGAUCUCUGUAUUAUUUAUUAUCACCAUUUUUAUUGUGCUAAUAAUACUUAAUAUAAGAACUACAUGUUUGAAAAGAUUUUUAAUAUCUUGGUUUCCUUAAGUUUUGAGAGUUUCAAAUAUUAAAUUUUUGUUUUAUUUUGCUUUUAUAUCUUGAAAUAUAGUACAGUUACGUCAUUUUCUCUCUUUCCUAUCUUGACUCCAAGCCCUGCCAUCACCCAUCUCAAAUUCAAAUUCAUUUUCUUUGUUAUUGUUACACACACAUGCUCACACACAUAUCCAUAGAUAAAUAAAUUGCUACAUAUGUUUUGUGUUACUUAUAUGCCUAUAAUUUCGGAACAAACCAACUUGUACUGGAUAACCAAUUAGGAAGCUCCUCUCUGGGGAAAACUCUUUCUCUUCUCAGCAUUUCUUAUUUUCCUGGAGUUCUUAAUGAUGGUGGCUUGUGUGUUUUGAUUAUAUUUAUGAUCUUCCCCAUUUCCUCCCAGAAUCAUUCCCAUUCAAUACCCAAACGAUCGUGUGUCCUCAGUCAUCAUUUUAAAAUACACCAAAUACAAUUCCUUCUGCCUGCAUAAUCUCAGCUGUGUGACCAUCCACUGGAGAGUGCUCCACCUAAGAAGAGCCACACCUCUAAAGAAAAGUGACUCUCCUUUCUGAGCAGCUAUCAACCACUCACUGCUCCACAGCUAAAGGUCAGACUUUACACCCACCUCCCCAUUUUGAUGCUGGGAUUUUGUCUCUUUGGAGCUUCCAUGGGACCCAUGCAUGCUGCCACACUGCAUUGAGUUCAUAUGUGCAGCUGCCCUGUGGUUUCUGGAAAGCCCUCUUUUCUUGAAGUUAUCCAACAUCUCCAACCCUUGCAGUCUUCCAGCCCCAACUUCUGAAAUGAUACUUUACUCUCUAAAUGAAUGAAUAUGAUGUAGAUGUCCCCUUGAGGACUGAGUACUCUACAGUAACAUGUCCUCUCCAUCUUUAACAUUUGUUGGUCUCUUUGUUAGUCACCACCUACUGCCAAGAGAAGCUUCCCUGAUAAAUGUUUACUAGAUGCACAAAUCUGUGGCUUUGAUGAAAAGCUGUUAGAAGAUGGCUUCAUCCUAUGUCUCACUAAUUAGUAAUAGUAUUAAGUUCUAACCUAAACUUUAUGACACAUCUAUCCAUAGGUUCUUGGACCCAAUAAAUAAUCAGGUAUGGGUUUUAUCUUAUUGAGCAGCCCAGGAAGUGGCUGAUUACUCCCAUGGCAUUUAUGCUAAUAUUCUGCCAAUAGGAACUUGCUGUGUAGGCCAUUAUUGUACCUUACAGGACUUAUUGAUGUAUAAUAUCUGUGAUUGCUUUUCUUCUCCAGUAGAAUGCUUGGUGCUUCCCUCAAUAUAAAAGCUACCAGCAGGGAUGACACUUCUGGGUCAAUACCAACUUGAUUCUAUGCCGGGAACCAUGACCUCAUCCAUGGCCUUGUGGAUAUUUUCUACCUUACAGAAACAAUCCUGAGAGAACAUUCGUGGUCAUAACAGUAAGAAUGUUUAUGGGGAAAGAGGACACUGUGACCGUUGGUUCCAGGAGCUGAAGAUUGCCACCUGACCUUCAGAGAGCCCCCGGGCUCUUCCCCCCAUCCUCGGAGCCUUCUCUUGCUUAUGCUUAUAUUGCCACUCCUGAAUAAAGUUUUCAGAGCUUGAUCAGU